rnacentral:rRNA from 1 species
AGCGAACGCUGGCGGCAGGCCUAACACAUGCAAGUCGAACGAAGUCUUCGGACUUAGUGGCGGACGGGUGAGUAACACGUGGGAACGUGCCUUUAGGUUCGGAAUAACUCAGGGAAACUUGUGCUAAUACCGAAUGUGCCCUUCGGGGGAAAGAUUUAUCGCCUUUAGAGCGGCCCGCGUCUGAUUAGCUAGUUGGUGAGGCAAUGGCUCACCAAGGCGACGAUCAGUAGCUGGUCUGAGAGGAUGACCAGCCACAUUGGGACUGAGACACGGCCCAAACUCCUACGGGAGGCAGCAGUGGGGAAUCUUGCGCAAUGGGCGAAAGCCUGACGCAGCCAUGCCGCGUGGAUGAUGAAGGUCUUAGGAUUGUAAAAUCCUUUCACCGGUGAAGAUAAUGACUGUAGCCGGAGAGGAAGCCCCGGCUAACUUCGUGCCAGCCGCCGCGGUAAUAC